GGAGAAUCAGGGUUUGGUUCUGGAGAGGCCGCCUGAGAAACGGCGACCACUUCCAAGGAAGGCAGCAGGCGCGCAAAUUACCCACUCUCAAAACGAGGAGGUAGUGAAGAGAAAUAACGAUGUUAGUCUUUUUAAGGCUGACAAUCGGAAUGGGAACACUGUAAACAGGUUAUCGAUUAACAAUUGGAGGGCAAGUCUGGUGCCAGCAGCCGCGGUAAUUCCAGCUCCAAUAAGGAAAACUAAAGUUGCUGUGUUUAAAAAGCUCGUAGUUGAAUUUCGGGUAUUUGUUGCUAGCUGGUCUAACUGGCCAUGUUGGUUAACAGAUCCUCAUUUGCUGGACGGCUGGCGAUGAUCUUCAUCGAUUGUCGUCAGUUGCCAGAACGUUUACUUUGAGAAAAUUAGAGUGCUAAAAGCAGGCUCACGCCUAUAUAUAUUGCUUGGAAUAAUGAAAUAAGAUCUCGAUUUUAUUUCGUUGGUUUUAGAAAUUGAGAUAAUGAUUAAUAGGAUCAGAGGGGGGCGUACGUACUGUGGUGUGAGAGGUGAAAUUCUUGGAUCGCCACAGGACGAACAGCAGCGAAGGCGUUCGCCAAGAAUGUUUUCAUUAAUCAAGAACGAAAGUUUGAGGUUCGAAGACGAUUAGAUACCGUCCUAGUUCAAACCAUAAACGUUGCCAACUGUCUUUUAGAUGCGGUUAUUUAUAUGACUCAUCUGGCGGAUCUCGAGAAAUCUAAGUUCUUAGGUUCCGGGGGAAGUAUGGUUGCAAAGCUGAAACUUAAAAGAAUUGACGGAAGGACACACAAGAAGUGGAGCCUGUGGCCUAAUUUGACCCAACACGGGAAACCUUACUCGGCCAGGACACUUUUAGGAUUGACAGAUUGAGAGCUCUUUCUUGAUUAGGUGGGUGGUGGUGCAUGGUCGUUCGUAGUUCGUGGAGCGAUUUGUCUGAUUAAUUUCGAUAACGAACGAGACUCCGGCUUACUAAAUAGUCUAAAGUUCGAAGGGACUUUUCAAGACUUCUUAGCAGGAUAAGUGGCACUUUUUAAGCCACACGAAAUGGAGCAAUAACAGGUCUGUGAUGCCCUUAGAUGUCCGAGGCUGCACGCGCGCUACACUGGAGAGUUCAGAAUGUUUCUUCCUACUUCGACAGAAGUGGGUAACCAUGAAAUUCUCUUCGUGACUGGGAUCGGAGCUUGCAAUUAUUCUCCGUCAACGAGGAAUUCCUAGUAAGCACUAUUUCAUCAGAAUGUGCUGAUUAUGUCCCUGUCCUUUGUACACACCGCCCGUCGCUACUACCGAUUGAAUGUUUUAGUGAGAUCUUCGGCUUGGUUUUCCGAGCGGCUUUCGGGUCGUUCGGUUUAUAUCGAAAAGAUGCUCAAACUGGAUCAUUUAGAGGAAGUAAAAGUCGUAACAAGGUA
rnacentral:rRNA from 1 species